GGCGGUGCAGGGACGCUUCACCAUCUCCAGGAACGACGGGCAGAGCACGCUCACCCUGCAGAUGAACAGCCUCAAGGCCGAAGACACCGCCACCUACUACUGCGCGAAAUGUGCUGGUACUAGUAGUGUUGAUGGCUGACAGUAUUAACAUCACCAGCACCAUCAUCAUGACCAGCACCACAGCCAACAGCACCAGCAGCACCAACACCAGCAGCACCAGCACCAGCAGCACCAGCAAUCUCAUAAGCGUAACCACCACCACUGUAAGCAUAUUUCGCGCAGUAGUAGGUGGCGGUGUCUUCAGCCUUGAGGCUGUUCAUCUGCAGGGUGACCGUGCUCUGCCCGUCGUUCUUGGAGACGGUGAAGCGUCCCUUCACCGCCGACGCGUAGUUUGUGCUACUACCACUGUUGCUAAUACUUGCGACGUACUCGAGCCCCUUCCCAGGUGCCUGUCGCACCCAAAGCAUGGCGUUGCUGCUGAAGGUGAAGCCGGAGGCCUUGCAGACCAGGGUCAGGGACCCCCCAGGCUUCACGAGGCCCCCUCCGGACUU